CCUACGGGAGGCAGCAGUGAGGAAUCUUGGUCAAUGGGCGCAAGCCUGAACCAGCCAAGUAGCGUGAAGGAUGACUGCCCUACGGGUUGUAAACUUCUUUUAUAAGGGAAUAAAUUAUGCCACGUGUACCUUUUUGUCUGUACUUUAUGAAUAAGCAUCGGCUAACUCCGUGCCAGCAGCCGCGGUAAUACGGAGGAUGCGAGCGUUAUCCGGAUUUAUUGGGUUUAAAGGGAGCGUAGCCGGUUUGUUAAGUAAGUGGUAAAACUUUGGGGCUAAACCUAAAAUUGCCAUUGAUACUGUAAGACUCGAGUUCAGUGGAGGUAGGCGGAAUAAGUGGUGUAGCGGUGAAAUGCUUAGAUAUAACGAAGAACUCCGAUAGCGAAGGCAGCUUACGAGACUGCGACUGA
rnacentral:rRNA from 1 species